rnacentral:rRNA from 1 species
CGUCAUGGCCAUACCACCCUGGACACAUCUGAUCUCAUCUGAUCUCGGAAGCUAAGCAGGGUUGGGCCUGGUUAGUACUUGGAUGGGAGAAGUAAAAAUCAAAGUCAGAAGACAUGAGUU